UACAGAGGGGGCAAGCGUUAUUCGGAAUUACUGGGCGUAAAGCGCGCGUAGGCGGACCUGCAAGUCGGGGGUGAAAGCCCGAGGCUCAACCUCGGAACUGCCUUCGAUACUGCGGGUCUCGAGUCCGGGAGAGGUGAGUGGAAUUCCUAGUGUAGAGGUGAAAUUCGUAGAUAUUAGGAAGAACACCAGUGGCGAAGGCGGCUCACUGGCCCGGUACUGACGCUGAGGCGCGAAAGCGUGGGGAGCGAUCCGG
rnacentral:rRNA from 1 species